rnacentral:rRNA from 1 species
UACAGAGGGUGCAAGCGUUGUUCGGAAUUAUUGGGCGUAAAGCGCACGUAGGCGGCCUGAUAAGUCGGGUGUGAAAGCCCUGGGACUCCAACCCAGGAAGGUGCACUCGAAACUGUCAGGCUUGAAUAUGGAAGAGGGUCGCGGAAUUCCCGGUGUAGAGGUGAAAUUCGUAGAUAUCGGAGGAACACCAGUGGCGAAGGCGGCGACCUGGGCCAAUAUUGACGCUGAGGUGCGAAAGCG